rnacentral:misc_RNA from 1 species
AAGUCGUAACAAGGUAACCGUAGGUGAACCUGCGGUUGGAUCAUUAAACAAACCAAGGUGGAGAGGGAGCCGUACACUUCAGGGGCAGCAUUCCAUCAAUGCAGUCGUCCUUGCAAGUAAACGGUCUUCCUCUCGUUUCGCCACACAUUUUGUGAACCCUCAAACCCGUCCGGCGGGGGAGGAAGUGGGAGGCUCCCGGGUCUCCCAAUUCCUCCGUCAGCGAAGGACAGCAUUGUUCUUGGCCGUGGACAACCCGCCCACCCAACCCUUCCAGCCUUUGCGUUGAAGGGGUUGUUUUGCCCAACUUUUUGGAUCUUUACGAAUUGUGAAUUGUCUCUGAGAAUGCGAUGGUGCAAUUGCACCGUCUUUUGGAAACAAACAUUCAAAAACAACUUUUGGCAACGGAUCUCUUGGCUCUC